rnacentral:rRNA from 1 species
GACGAACGCUGGCGGCGUGCCUAAUACAUGCAAGUCGAGCGAUGAAGAUUGGUGCUUGCACCAAUUUGAAGAGCAGCGAACGGGUGAGUAACGCGUGGGGAAUCUGCCUUUGAGCGGGGGACAACAUUUGGAAACGAAUGCUAAUACCGCAUAACAACUUUAAACAUAAGUUUUAAGUUUGAAAGAUGCAAUUGCAUCACUCAAAGAUGAUCCCGCGUUGUAUUAGCUAGUUGGUGAGGUAAAGGCUCACCAAGGCGAUGAUACAUAGCCGACCUGAGAGGGUGAUCGGCCACAGUGGGACUGAGACACGGCCCAAACUCCUACGGGAGGCAGCAGUAGGGAAUCUUCGGCAAUGGACGAAAGUCUGACCGAGCAACGCCGCGUGAGUGAAGAAGGUUUUCGGAUCGUAAAACUCUGUUGGUAGAGAAGAACGUUGGUGAGAGUGGAAAGCUCAUCAAGUGACGGUAACUACCCAGAAAGGGACGGCUAACUACGUG